rnacentral:rRNA from 1 species
AGAGUUUGAUCAUGGCUCAGAGCGAACGCUGGCGGCAGGCUUAACACAUGCAAGCCGAACGGACGUAGCAAUACGUCAGUGGCAGACGGGUGAGUAACACGUGGGAACGUGCCCUUCGGCUCGGAACAACCCAGGGAAACUUGGGCUAAUACCGGAUACGUCCGCAAGGAGAAAGAUUUAUCGCCGAAGGAUCGGCCCGCGUCUGAUUAGCUUGUUGGUGAGGUAACGGCUCACCAAGGCGACGAUCAGUAGCUGGUCUGAGAGGAUGAUCAGCCACACUGGGACUGAGACACGGCCCAGACUCCUACGGGAGGCAGCAGUGGGGAAUAUUGGACAAUGGGCGCAAGCCUGAUCCAGCCAUGCCGCGUGGGUGAUGAAGGCCUUAGGGUUGUAAAGCCCUUUCGGCGGGGAAGAUAAUGACGGUACCCGCAGAAGAAGCCCCGGCUAACUUCGUGCCAGCAGCCGCGGUAAUACGAAGGGGGUUAGCGUUGCUCGGAAUCACUGGGCGUAAAGCGCACGUAGGCGGAUUGCUAAGUCAGGGGUGAAAUCCUGGAGCUCAACUCCAGAACUGCCCUUGAUACUGGCGACCUUGAGUCCGGGAGAGGUGAGUGGAACUGCGAGUGUAGAGGUGAAAUUCGUAGAUAUUCGCAAGAACACCAGUGGCGAAGGCGGCUCACUGGCCCGGUACUGACGCUGAGGUGCGAAAGCGUGGGGAGCAAACAGGAUUAGAUACCCUAGUAGUCC